AAAAAGUCAAAUCCUGAUUUCCGUGUCCAAUUUAACUGUCCGUUUUAUAUGAAAUUUUUUUAUAAUUUGUAUUUUCAUUAUUGUUAGAUGAUAAAAUAUGAUUAAUAUUUUAUGCGCGACUUGUCUUUUUAAAUUUUUUCAAAUAAGACGGACGGUCAAACAUUAGACACGGAAACCAGGUUUUGCCUUUUUU
rfam:Oryza glumipatula chromosome 3, whole genome shotgun sequence.